GGAAUUGUGCCUGAAUUAUAGGAUCACUUUGAAUAGAGUGAACAUGGAGGUUAAAAUCCUCCCAACUCCU
rnacentral:tRNA from 1 species